GGUACUUAGAUGUUUCAGUUCAGGCGGUUCCCCACGUGCAGCUAUGGAUUCACUGCACGCUGACGGAGUAUGGCUCCGCCGGGUUGCCCCAUUCGGAUAUCCACGGAUCAAUGCCUGCUUUCGACUCCCCGUGGCUUUUCGCAGAUCGCUGCGUCCUUCAUCGGCUCCUGGUGCCAAGGCAUUCCCCUUGCGCUCUUUGUAGCUUGACC
rnacentral:rRNA from 1 species